AAAUUGAAGAGUUUGAUCAUGGCUCAGAUUGAACGCUGGCGGCAGGCCUAACACAUGCAAGUCGAACGGUAACAGGAAACAGCUUGCUGUUUCGCUGACGAGUGGCGGACGGGUGAGUAAUGUCUGGGAAGCUGCCUGAUGGAGGGGGAUAACUACUGGAAACGGUAGCUAAUACCGCAUAACGUCGCAAGACCAAAGAGGGGGACCUUCGGGCCUCUUGCCAUCGGAUGUGCCCAGAUGGGAUUAGCUAGUAGGUGGGGUAAUGGCUCACC
rnacentral:rRNA from 1 species